rnacentral:rRNA from 1 species
GAUGAACGCUGGCGGCGUGCCUAAUACAUGCAAGUCGAGCGAACAGACGAGGAGCUUGCUCCUCUGACGUUAGCGGCGGACGGGUGAGUAACACGUGGAUAACCUACCUAUAAGACUGGGAUAACUUCGGGAAACCGGAGCUAAUACCGGAUAAUAUAUUGAACCGCAUGGUUCAAUAGUGAAAGACGGUUUUGCUGUCACUUAUAGAUGGAUCCGCGCCGCAUUAGCUAGUUGGUAAGGUAACGGCUUACCAAGGCAACGAUGCGUAGCCGACCUGAGGGGGUGAUCGGCCACACUGGAACUGAGACACGGUCCAGACUCCUACGGGAGGCAGCAGUAGAGAAUCUUCCGCAAUGGGCGAAAGCCUGAUGGAGCAACGCCGCGUGAGUGAUGAAGGUCUUCGGAUCGUAAAACUCUGUUAUUAGGGAAGAACAAAUGUGUAAGUAACUAUGCACGUCUUGACGGUACCUAAUCAGAAAGCCACGGCUAACUGCGUGCCAGCAGCCGCCGCCG